rnacentral:rRNA from 1 species
GAUGAACGCUGGCGGCGUGCCUAAUACAUGCAAGUCGAGCGAACAGAUGAGGAGCUUGCUCCUCUGACGUUAGCGGCGGACGGGUGAGUAACACGUGGAUAACCUACCUAUAAGACUGGGAUAACUUCGGGAAACCGGAGCUAAUACCGGAUAAUAUAUUGAACCGCAUGGUUCAAUAGUGAAAGACGGUUUUGCUGUCACUUAUAGAUGGAUCCGCGCCGCAUUAGCUAGUUGGUAAGGUAACGGCUUACCAAGGCAACGAUGCGUAGCCGACCUGAGAGGGUGAUCGGCCACACUGGAACUGAGACACGGUCCAGACUCCUACGGGAGGCAGCAGUAGGGAAUCUUCCGCAAUGGGCGAAAGCCUGACGGAGCAACGCCGCGUGAGUGAUGAAGGUCUUCGGAUCGUAAAUCUCUGUUAUUAGGGAAGAACAAAUGUGUAAGUAACUAUGCACGUCUUGACGGUACCUAAUCAGAAAGCCACGGCUAACUACGUG